rnacentral:rRNA from 1 species
CCUACGGGAGGCAGCAGUGGGGAAUAUUGCGCAAUGGGCGAAAGCCUGACGCAGCGACGCCGCGUGAGGGAUGAAGGUCUUCGGAUCGUAAACCUCUGUCAGCAGGGACGAACGGUCACUGUGCUAAUCAGCAGUGAAUUGACCGUACCUGCAAAGGAAGCACCGGCUAACUCCGUGCCAGCAGCCGCGGGAAUACGGAGGGUGCGAGCGUUAAUCGGAAUUACUGGGCGUAAAGCCCUCGGAGGCGGUAUGUCAAGUCAAGGGUGAAAGCCCCGCGCUCAACGUGGGAACUGCCUUUGAAACUGGCAAACUGGAGUGUGUGAGAGGAUAGUGGAAUGCCAGGUGUAGGAGUGAAAUCCGUAGAUAUCUGGAGGAACAUCAGUGGCGAAGGCGACUAUCUGGCACAUAACUGACGCUGAGGAGCGAAAGCGUGGGUAGCAAACAGGAUUAGAUACCCCUGUAGUC